GAUGAACGCUGGCGGCGUGCCUAAUACAUGCCAGUCGAGCGAACAGACGAGGAGCUUGCUCCUCUGACGUUAGCGGCGGACGGGUGAGUAACACGUGGAUAACCUACCUAUAAGACUGGGAUAACUUCGGGAAACCGGAGCUAAUACCGGAUAAUAUAUUGAACCGCAUGGUUUAAUAGUGAAAGACGGUUUUGCUGUCACUUAUAGAUGGAUCCGCGCCGCAUUAGCUAGUUGGUAAGGUAACGGCUUACCAAGGCAACGAUGCGUAGCCGACCUGAGAGGGUGAUCGGCCACACUGGAACUGAGACACGGUCCAGACUCCUACGGGAGGCAGCAGUAGGGAAUCUUCCGCAAUGGGCGAAAGCCUGACGGAGCAACGCCGCGUGAGUGAUGAAGGUCUUCGGAUCGUAAAACUCUGUUAUUAGGGAAGAACAAAUGUGUAAGUAACUAUGCACGUCUUGACGGUACCUAAUCAGAAAGCCACGGCUAACUACGUG
rnacentral:rRNA from 1 species